AAACCAACAGGGAUUGCCUCAGUAACGGCGAGUGAAGCGGCAAGAGCUCAAAUUUGAAAUCCGGCCCCCCUGGGGGCCUGAGUUGUAAUUUGCAGAGGAUGCUUCGGGCGCGACCGCGGUCCAAGUCCCCUGGAACGGGGCGUCGUAGAGGGUGAGAAUCCCGUCUCCGGCCGGCCGGUCUCGCCCGUGUGAAGCUCCUUCGACGAGUCGAGUUGUUUGGGAAUGCAGCUCCAAAUGGGUGGUAAAUUUCAUCUAAAGCUAAAUACUGGUCGGAGACCGAUAGCGCACAAGUAGAGUGAUCGAAAGAUGAAAAGCACUUUGAAAAGAGAGUUAAACAGCAUGUGAAAUUGUUGAAAGGGAAGCGCUUGCGACCAGAGUCGGCCGUGGGGGUUCAGCGGGCAUUCGUUGCCCGUGCAAUCCCCCGCGGCCGGGCCAGCGUCGGUUUCGACGGCCGGUCAAAGGCUCCCGGAAUGUGUCGCCUCUCGGGGCGUCUUAUAGCCGGGGGUGCAAUGCGGCCAGUCGGGACCGAGGAACGCGCUCCGGCACGGACGCUGGCUUAAUGGUCGUCAGCGAC
rnacentral:rRNA from 1 species